rnacentral:rRNA from 1 species
GAUGAACGCUGGCGGCGUGCCUAAUACAUGCAAGUCGAGCGAACAGACGAGGAGCUUGCUCCUCUGACGUUAGCGGCGGACGGGUGAGUAACACGUGGAUAACCUACCUAUAAGACUGGGAUAACUUCGGGAAACCGGAGCUAAUACCGGAUAAUAUAUUGAACCGCAUGGUUCAAUAGUGAAAGACGGUUUUGCUGUCACUUAUAGAUGGAUCCGCGCCGCAUUAGCUAGUUGGUAAGGUAACGGCUUACCAAGGCAACGAUGCGUAGCCGACCUGAGAGGGUGAUCGGCCACACUGGAACUGAGACACGGUCCAGACUCCUACGGGAGGCAGCAGUAGGGAAUCUUCCGCAAUGGGCGAAAGCCUGACGGAGCAACGCCGCGUGAGUGAUGAAGGUCUUCGGAUCGUAAAACUCUGCUAUUAGGGAAGAACAAAUGUGUAAGUAACUAUGCACGUCUUGGCGGUACCUAAUCAGAAAGCCACGGCUAACUACGUG